CCUACGGGGGGCAGCAGUGGGGAAUAUUGCACAAUGGGGGAAACCCUGAUGCAGCGACGCCGCGUGAGUGAGGAAGUAUUUCGGUAUGUAAAGCUCUAUCAGCAGGGAAGAAAAUGACGGUACCUGCCUAAGAAGCCCCGGCUAACUACGUGCCAGCAGCCGCGGUAAUACGUAGGGGGCAAGCGUUAUCCGGAUUUACUGGGUGUAAAGGGAGCGUAGACGGCUAAUCAAGUCAGAAGUGAAAACCCAGGGCUCAACCUUGGGACUGCUUUUGAAACUGAGUAGCUAGAGUGCCGGAGAGGUAAGCGGAAGUCCUAGUGUAGCGGUGAAAUGCGUAGAUAUUAGGAGGAACACCAGUGGCGAAGGCGGCUUCCUGGACUAUAACUGACGUUGAGGCUCGAAAGCGUGGGGAGCAAACAGGAUUAGAUACCCCGGUAGUC
rnacentral:rRNA from 1 species